GGGGCCCGCACAAGCGGAGGAACAUGUGGUUUAAUUCGAUGAUACGCGAGGAACCUUACCCGGGCUCAAACGGGAGACGGCUGGGGCAGAGACGCCCCUUUCCCUCGGGACGUCUUCCGAGGUGCUGCAUGGUUGUCGUCAGCUCGUGCCGUGAGGUGUCGGCUUAAGUGCCAUAACGAGCGCAACCCCCGCGUGCAGUUGCCAGCAGGAAAGGCUGGGGACUCUGCACGGACUGCCGGCGCAAGCCGCGAGGAAGGCGGGGAUGACGUCAAAUCAGCACGGCCCUUACGUCCGGGGCGACACACGUGUUACAAUGGGGGGUACAGCGGGAAGCCAGGCGGCGACGCCGAGCGGAACCCGAAAGCCCCUCUCAGUUCGGAUCGGAGUCUGCAACCCGACUCCGUGAAGCUGGAUUCGCUAGUAAUCGCGCAUCAGCCAUGGCGCGGUGAAUACGUUCCCGGGCCUUGUACACACCGCCCGUCAAGCCAUGGGAGCCGAGGGCGCUUGAAGUGCGUCGCCGGGAGGCGCGCCCUAGAGCGAAAUCGGUGACUGGGGCUAAGUCGUAACAAGGUAACCGU
rnacentral:rRNA from 1 species